UAAUAUUCUUGUUGGAUAUACCUAACUAGUAGAAGUAUUUAUAAUAUUUUACUAUGUUGUUUUACGACAUUUCUAUUUGUAUAGUUCAUUAAAACUGCGACUACUUUUGAUGCCUGUUUUAAUAUUCUUGAUCAAUAACAUUGCUUGACAAAAUUCAAGUUUAUUUCGUGUAAGAACUUGUAUACAGUAUGCAGGCAUUUUUUAAUAGCAAAAAACACUAAAACAGGUGUUGGAAGUCAUCAAGAUAACCACCACAGAUUUUAUUUAAACAUUUUUCCUUUAAUAUAUUUUUCUUACCUAUGGCCGGUCGCAGAGAUAUUCUGUGAGACGUUGAUUUAAUCACAGUGGCCCAGAAACAUCUUUCAAAUGCUCCCAUUUAACCUCUGUCCUAUAUAUCAGGAUAUAGAAAACUUCAUUCAUGCAACGAGAAAAUAACAAGUCGGAUUUUUUUUUUUGGAAAAAACAAAUCUUGGGCAGAUCAUGUUAGUUACAUUAAGCAUUGUCUGGACUUAAAUCUGGAAUGUAUAUUAAUCAUGGAACAUUUUGUUCUGAGUUUGUGAACAAACAAAUUUUGGCGGCAGUUCAUACUUUCGGAGCCAAAUAUUGAAAAAAGUACAUAUAAAAUGGUAGCCUCAAAAAUCUUGAUGUACAGAAAAACUGUUUUUAGCGAAGACGGCGUUCGAAAUACCCCUGAGAAUAUAAUCCUUGCUCAAUACAGAAAACUAUUUUUUGCUCCAAAAAUUUUGAGAUGCAGAACAUUUAUUUUAUUGUAUACAUUUUUCUCAUGUUUGUGUAAACUAGAUUUUUCCAAUAUCUGUUGGACAUAUUUAAAAUUGAAUUCAAUGACUUUAACGCUCCCUUAAAGCAUAAGAACAACUGUAUAGCGAUGAAAUUUUAAUUGUCUGAUGAUCGGAAAAUAAUUGACGAUAUCUUCCAUAUAAGUUCCCCUUUAGAAAAUUGUAUCUGUGCAUUGACUCAAAUAUUUUUUGUUUGUGAAUGGUUCCAAUGGCAUAGUAUUAUAAUUGAUUAAACUUAAUUAUCUCUUAAAUUUAAAAGGUAUUUGUCCAUAAUGGACUUAACACUCA